UACGGAAGGUCCGGGCGUUAUCCGGAUUUAUUGGGUUUAAAGGGUGCGUAGGUUGUUUUUUAAGUCAGCGGUGAAAGUUUGUGGCUCAACCAUAAAAUUGCCGUUGAAACUGGGGGGCUUGAGUAUGUUUGAGGCAGGCGGAAUGCGUGGUGUAGCGGUGAAAUGCUUAGAUAUCACGAAGAACUCCGAUUGCGAAGGCAGCUCACUAGACUGCAACUGACACUGAUGCUCGAAAGUGUGGGUAUCAAACAGG
rnacentral:rRNA from 1 species